CUUCUUGACUAUACCACUGCAUAGAAUUGAGUCCAAUAAUUAAAAAUGAUGCAGAUAACUAUGAAAGAUAGGAUUGAGAGGUAGUCGCAUCUGAUGGGACAAAUCAGUCCAAUCAUUCAACUUUAUUCAAUUGGGAUAAGAAUAGCCUAUAAUUGGCUUUAUAAAGAUCAAAAACGACCAAAUUUAGUAGUAUCUAAUAAGGGACAAGCAGUAAUGAUCGAUGUCCCAGUCAGUCCAAUUAACAUAAUUUCAUCAAAUCAUAAUUGAACUGGUGCAUAAAUGGUUCAAUAUAAUCAUGGAUCAUCAAAUAUAAUAAUAUCUGGUCUCGUCAGGAUGGAUAUUGACAUACUGUCCGACGACCAUAGGUUAGGAUCCUUUUCACCAGGGUC
rnacentral:lncRNA from 1 species